AACAAUCUCCUAACCAUCUGGUGCUAGAUUUGACCCUUCACCAUCCUCGACUCAACGAUCUCCUGUCAACCUGGUGCUGGACUUGCCUCUUCAUCGCCCUCCGCCCUACACUUAUCAUUCUUCACUCUUCAUCCCCCAAAAAUAAAAGAAUAAAAAGAGAACCCGUCUUCAUAUGAACAAAUCUGUGGUUAAUUUUGCGGUAUAUAUAUAUUACAACAGCAGCCAUAUUUGAGAAGGAAGAAUAAGAAGCUAAUAAGCAAAAGAUGAGUGAGCCGCCCAAGUACGCUUAUCCCUACCCUGCUCAAGGUUACUAUCAAGGCCCUCCGGUGAUGCCGCCGCCGCAGUACUACGCCGCUCCGCCACCCCCCAGGAGAGAAACUGGUUUUCUCGAAGGAUGUUUGGCAGCUCUGUGUUGCUGCUGGCUGUUAGAUGAGUGCUGCUGCGACCCCUCCAUCGUCUUCAUCAGCUGAUUAUAUAUAUAUGCAUGGAGAUUGUUAUUACAAUUAGUGGGUUAUAUAUGUUGUAGUAAGUUAUUAUCUGAUCUGUUUAAAUAAAUCUGCAGUGAUUUGAUGAUGUUUUUAGUUGUUAAUCAAGAGAGCUUAAUUAGUUUGAUCUUGAAUGUGAAAUGUGAUACCUUAGGCUCAGGCUUUCAUGUCCAAA